CACGUAGGGGGCGAGCGUUGUCCGGAUUUAUUGGGCGUAAAGAGCUCGUAGGCGGUUCGGCAAGUCGGGUGUGAAAUUUCGAGGCUCAACCUCGAAACGCCACUCGAUACUGCUGUGACUGGAGUCCGGUAGAGGAGUGCGGAAUUCCUGGUGUAGCGGUGAAACGCGCAGAUAUCAGGAGGAACACCAACGGCGAAGGCAGCACUCUGGGCCGGUACUGACGCUGAGGAGCGAAAGCGUGGGGAGCAAACAGG
rnacentral:rRNA from 1 species